rnacentral:sRNA from 1 species
CUAAGUAAACCAGAGCCCGGUGGGCUGGAACGCGCCGGAAUCUGAGGUGACUGAGAGUUUUCAUCCUCUUGAAUAAGAACUCGACAACAGAGUGGGAACUUUCUGUCUUGUGAUCGAUUGCCUGGUGAGUCACAGCUCACACCAUGGAUUUAACCUGAGAGCUUCAACUUCUGCUUUGGCCCUGGAGUUCCCAUGCCCUGGUGUCUUCUACCAGUUCUUAGGUAGGGUUUUGUAUCCAGAGAGGGUUCAGCUUUCUCCCGUGGGCUGGGGGAAGAGGUCAAAGUCGAACUCAGGUACCAAAUUUGAAAGGAAACACUCAGAAAAAACUUCUGAGCGCAGAGCGGAAAACACCCUCUCAGUCCCCACCAAAGAGAAAAGCUUUGGGUUCUAAAUUUCCAGUUUCCAUUAAGGGACUCUGGGACUGGACAUUUCUGAAAAUUAAUGACCUGUACUGAGUAAUCCUCCCAACACACUGAUCAUCAAAAAAUAACCUGUAAUGAGUUUAGGCUUUCUGUAUUUGUCUGAAUGCUUUCACGGGAGUGUGUCACAGGAAGGCGGCACUGG